rnacentral:rRNA from 1 species
ACACAUGCAAGUCGAGCGCGAUUAGUUGGACUGGAGGCUUCGGCCAAAGGGAAGAUUAUGAAAGCGGCGGACGGGUGAGUAACGCGUGAGCAACCUGCCCUGUACAGGGGGAUAGCCACUGGAAACGGUGAUUAAUACCCCAUAAACCCAAAGGAUCGCAUGAUCUAAUGGGCAAAGUCCAAACGGUACAGGAUGGGCUCGCGUCUGAUUAGCUAGUUGGUGAGGUAACGGCUCACCAAGGCGACGAUCAGUAGCCGACCUGAGAGGGUGAACGGCCACACUGGAACUGAGACACGGUCCAGACUCCUACGGGAGGCAGCAGUGGGGAAUAUUGCACAAUGGGCGCAAGCCUGAUGCAGCAACGCCGCGUGAGUGAUGAAGGCCUUCGGGUCGUAAAACUCUGUCCUAAGGGAAGAAGAAGUGACGGUACCUUAGGAGGAAGCCCCGGCUAACUACGUGCCAGCAGCCGCGGUAAUACGUAGGGGGCAAGCGUUAUCCGGAAUCACUGGCGUAAAGGGUGCGUAGGCGGCUGAUCAAGCCAGGGGUGAAAGGCAAUAGCUUAACUAUUGGGAGCCUUUGGAACUGGUCAGCUUGAGUGCAGGAAAAGAAAGCGGAAUU